rnacentral:misc_RNA from 1 species
GACAUGCCUACUGCCAUACGUGUUGCAUUAUUUAGCAUGCGUAUGACCUGAAAGUAUGUAAACCCAUUGUAAAGUAUUGCACCCCAGAGUGGUGCAUAAAAUGUUAUAAAGUGAAUUGCCUUUCUUGUUCUCCCUAUUUCUGUCCAACACCAUGCACCUAAAUGUCCAUGAUUAUUACCAAUGGAGCGCAUUACAGUCAUAACCAAUGACGUUCCCCAAACAUACAAAUGAAACAUGGCCUCCAAGUCUUCAACAUCUGUUUUGUGUUUAACAACAGUACGAUGAAGAGUAAAAGCAAUAGUCGUGGUCCACAGAAAAGAUGCUACACAGAAGAAAUGUGUGCUGUAGCCCUGAGCAAUACAAAAGAAUCCUUUGGAAGGAUCCCCAACUAUGCUGAAGAAACUGCAAAGCAUGUCGGAGAGGGCGAGAUAGAAUACAAGCUUGAAGGAGAACUUGCGUAGCUCUUUGAAGAGGACAUAACAUAGAACUAUGAAGCUGGACCCUACAAAUGAAAGACUAGAUGCCCCUGCGUUCACCGACGUAAGAAUCUGCCGAUCGUGAGCCGUGAGGUUACCGGCGACCUGCACCAUCGCCAUUCUCGAUCUGUAUGUUUCUGAUAAUUACUCGAGUCUUCAGUUGGCCACUACAUAGUAAUACGCGCGAAGACGGGGAAGUGGAAGGGAAGAGCCAGGAGGCUAUAAUUGGUAAAAUAAAUGCAAAUCUACUACAAGUUCCUCGC